AAUUAAUUUGGAACGGAGGGA
rnacentral:miRNA from 1 species